rnacentral:SRP_RNA from 1 species
AGCCGGGUCCUGCGCAAGGGCGCGCCGCGAACCCCGCCAGGUCCGGAAGGAAGCAACGGUACCGGCCCACGACCUGUGCCGCAGGGGAGCCUGGCUAUC